rnacentral:lncRNA from 1 species
CUUUAGUAGGUAAGCGCUGGCUGAAGAAGAUGAACAGUGAUAGGAAGGUUGUUGUGUGUACUGAUAACGAAGACAAAGCAGUUUCGAUGGGUAUUGCGGUGCUAGGCUAUAGGGGUGGUCAACUGGUGGUGUGGACGCCACCUGAUUCCGACGAGUUGAGGGUGGUGGGAGGGAGAGGAGAUACAGGGGGGGUGGGGUCUUUGUUUGUGUGGAGCAGCACUUUUAGGUGUUUUUGUAUUUUUUUUGUCCGAGGCCUCAUUUUUUUUUGUUCCCCG